UAUUGACUAACGUCUGACCUACUGGCU
rnacentral:piRNA from 1 species